rnacentral:rRNA from 1 species
AGAGACUGCGAGCGUUAUUCGGAUUCACUGGGCGUAAAGGGUGCGCAGGCGGCCAUGUGUGUUGGGCGUGAAAGCCCGGGGCUUAACCCCGGAAUUGCACCCAAAACUACAUGGCUAGAGCAUUGGAGAGGGUAGCAGAAUUCAUGGUGUAGCAGUGAAAUGCGUAGAUAUCAUGAGGAAUACCAGAGGCGAAGGCGGCUACCUGGACAAUUGCUGACGCUCAGGCACGAAAGCGUGGGGAGCAAAAGGGAUUAGAUACCCCUGUAGUCCACGCCCUAAACGGUGCACACUAGGUCUUGGCGGAUUCGACCCCCCCAGGGCCCAAGCUAACGCGUUAAGUGUGCCGCCUGAGGACUACGGCCGCAAGGCUA